rnacentral:rRNA from 1 species
AAACUGAAGAGUUUGAUCCUGGCUCAGAUUGAACGCUGGCGGCAUGCCUAACACAUGCAAGUCGAACGGUAACGAUGGGAGCUUGCUCCCAGGCGACGAGUGGCGGACGGGUGAGUAACGCGUGGAAAUCUACCUAGUAGUGGGGGACAACCCGA